GAUGAACGCUGGCGGCGUGCCUAAUACAUGCGAGUCGAGCGAACAGACGAGGAGCUUGCUCCUCUGACGUUAGCGGCGGACGGGUGAGUAACACGUGGAUAACCUACCUAUAAGACUGGGAUAACUUCGGGAAACCGGAGCUAAUACCGGAUAAUAUAUUGAACCGCAUGGUUCAAUAGUGAAAGACGGUUUUGCUGUCACUUAUAGAUGGAUCCGCGCCGCAUUAGCUAGUUGGUAAGGUAACGGCUUACCAAGGCAACGAUGCGUAGCCGACCUGAGAGGGUGAUCGGCCACACUGGAACUGAGACACGGUCCAGACUCCUACGGGAGGCAGCAGUAGGGAAUCUUCCGCAAUGGGCGAAAGCCUGACGGAGCAACGCCGCGUGAGUGAUGAAGGUCUUCGGAUCGUAAAACUCUGUUAUUAGGGAAGAACAAAUGUGUAAGUAACUAUGCACGUCUGGACGGUACCUAAGCAGAAAGCCACGGCUAACUACGU
rnacentral:rRNA from 1 species